rnacentral:misc_RNA from 1 species
GUAUUAAGUUUCGCCCACUAAGAGGCUGAUACAUUCUACAAGACAAUGCAUAUAGUUUGUGAUAAAGGGCAAAGUGCAAUCCCAGCAAGCCAUUGCUGACCUGCGGCUCCAGUUACGGAGGACCACAACUUUGAAAGUGCACAGGUGUUGAGUGGAUUUGAGAGCGGGGCUGAGCACAUGCACCGAUGAAGGCGCCAGCAUCAAGCCCACUUCAAAACUCAAUAAUGAUCCUUCCGCAGGUUCACCUACGGAAA